GAUGAACGCUGGCGGCGUGCCUAAUACAUGCAAGUCGAGCGAACGGACGAGAAGCUUGCUUCUCUGAUGUUAGCGGCGGACGGGUGAGUAACACGUGGAUAACCUACCUAUAAGACUGGGAUAACUUCGGGAAACCGGAGCUAAUACCGGAUAAUAUUUUGAACCGCAUGGUUCAAAAGUAAAAGACGGUCUUGCUGUCACUUAUAGAUGGAUCCGCGCUGCAUUAGCUAGUUGGUAAGGUAACGGCUUACCAAGGCAACGAUGCAUAGCCGACCUGAGAGGGUGAUCAGCCACACUGGAACUGAGACACGGUCCAGACUCCUACGGGAGGCAGCAGUGGGGAAUCUUCGGCAAGGGGCGAAAGCCUGACGGAGCAACGCCGCGUGAGUGAUGAAGGUCUUCGGAUCGUAAAACUCUGUUAUUAGGGAAGAACAAAUGUGAAUGAAACGAUGCAUGUUUUGACGGUACCUAAACAAAAAGCAAGGGCUAACUACGUG
rnacentral:rRNA from 1 species